rnacentral:rRNA from 1 species
UACGGAGGGUGCAAGCGUUGUCCGGAUUUAUUGGGUUUAAAGGGUGCGUAGGCGGCCCUGUAAGUCAGUGGUGAAAUACUGCAGCUUAACUGUAGCAUUGCCAUUGAUACUGUAGGGCUUGAGUACAGAUGAGGUAGGCGGAAUUGAUGGUGUAGCGGUGAAAUGCAUAGAUACCAUCAAGAACACCGAUUGCGAAGGCAGCUUACUAAGCUGUAACUGACACUGAGGGACGAAAGCUAGGGGAGCGAAUGGG